rnacentral:rRNA from 1 species
GAUGAACGCUGGCGGCGUGCCUAAUACAUGCAAGUCGAGCGAACGGACGAGAAGCUUGCUUCUCUGAUGUUAGCGGCGGACGGGUGAGUAACACGUGGAUAACCUACCUAUAAGACUGGGAUAACUUCGGGAAACCGGAGCUAAUACCGGAUCAUAUUUUGAACCGCAUGGUUCAAAAGUGAAAGACGGUUUUGCUGUCACUUAUAGAUGGAUCCGCGCUGCAUUAGCUAGUUGGUAAGGUAACGGCUUACCAAGGCAACGAUGCAUAGCCGACCUGAGAGGGUGAUCGGCCACACUGGAACUGAGACACGGUCCAGACUCCUACGGGAGGCAGCAGUAGGGAAUCUUCCGCAAUGGGCGAAAGCCUGACGGAGCAACGCCGCGUGAGUGAUGAAGGUCUUCGGAUCGUAAAACUCUGUUAUUAGGGAAGAACAUAUGUGUAAGUAACUGUGCACAUCUUGACGGUACCUAAUCAGAAAGCCACGGCUAACUACGUG